GCGUCGGUGGUGCAAUGGUUCAGCACAUGUUCCUGGAAAGAGUGAGGUCUCGGUUCGAAUCCCGGCCGGCUGACGCA